GAAAAAAAAGAUAAAUUAAAUUUUAAUUUAGAGACAAGUGGCUUAAUACUAGCCACUUAACUAAAUUAAUUUUAUAAAUAAAAAAAAGGAAAAAGGAAGAAAAGAAAAGAGUAGAAGAGGCCAUUUUCUUCCAAAAAAUAAAAAAUAAAAAAUAAAAAGAAAGAAUCCCGUUCAUCCAUCCCAUCUUUUCCCUAAAAUUCUUCUUUUCAAUUCUACUCUAUUUUCUUCCAAUUUUCCACCCAACUUGCUAGCCCAUCUCAUCCAAGUCCCUUGGUUAAAAAUUCAAGGUAUGAGGAAGAAUCAAAGGAGAAAAUUCAAGGUUGAGGGAGAGAGUGAAUAGUAACCAAGGGUUUGGAAAUUUAAAGAAGAAGUGGAAGGGAGGAGUGGAAAUUCCAAAGGGAAAGGAAAGGAAGAAUAGAAAUUUUAAGCUUGUGGAAGAUUUUGGAAGGUUUAAGUUGAGCACCACUAAGCAAUUUGCUUAGCGCAUCCAAAGCGCAGUAGAUCAUCAACCCAAUCAGAGUUAGAUCAUUAACUAUCUUGGGGUAUAUUUUGUAAAUUUUAUAUAAAGUUAAUUUUGAAAAUAUGACAUGUACAUAAAGUUUUAGAGAUAAAAUUGUAUAUGGUUUAAAUUAGAUAUGUUUGAAUAUUUUAAUUUUUGGUGUAAAUAUGGGUUACUCCUAUAAGUUUUUGGUGUUAGAGAUUAAUGAGAUGGUUAUGAAGUGUUGGAUCUGAGUUGAAACAACUGUGUUGAUGGUAAAAAAAGUUUGGGGGUUAAGAUUGAAGUUUAUAGAAGUGUAAUAUUGCUCUUCA